AGAGUUUGAUCAUGGCUCAGAAUCAACGCUGGCGGCGCGCCUAACACAUGCAAGUCGAACGAGAAAGGGGAGCAAUCCCUGAGUACAGUGGCGUACGGGUGAGUAACACGUGGAUGAUCUACCCUUUAGUGGGGAAUAACUAUGGGAAACCGUAGCUAAUACCGCAUAAGCUCGAGAGAGGAAAGCAGCAAUGCGCUGAAGGAGGAGUCCGCGGCCGAUUAGCUAGUUGGCAGGGUAAAAGCCUACCAAGGCAGAGAUCGGUAGCCGGCCUGAGAGGGCACACGGCCACACUGGCACUGAAACACGGGCCAGACUCCUACGGAAGGCAGCAGUGGGGAAUCUUGCACAAUGGGGGAAACCCUGAUGCAGCGACGCCGCGUGAGCGAUGAAGCCCUUCGGGGUGUAAAGCUCUUUCGGCAGGGAAGAUAGUGACGGUACCUGCAGAAGCAGCUGCGGCUAACUACGUGCCAGCAGCCGCGGUAAUACGUAGGCAGCAAGCGUUGUUCGGAGUUACUGGGCGUAAAGGGUGUGUAGGCGGUUGUUUAAGUUUGGUGUGAAAUCUCCCGGCUCAACUGGGAGGGUGCGCCGAAUACUGAAUGACUAGAGUGCGGGAGAGGAAAGUGGAAUUCCUGGUGUAGCGGUGAAAUGCGUAGAUAUCAGGAGGAACACCGGUGGUGUAGACGGCUUUCUGGACCGUAACUGACGCUGAGACACGAAAGCGUGGGUAGCAAACAGGAUUAGAUACCCUGGUAGUCCACGCCCUAAACGAUGCAUAUUUGGUGUGGGCAGUUCAUUCUGUCCGUGCCGGAGCUAACGCGUUAAAUAUGCCGCCUGGGGAGUACAGUCGCAAGGCUGAACUCAAAGGAAUUGACGGGGGCCCGCACAAGCGGUGGAGCAUGUGGUUCAAUUCGACGCAACGCGAAGAACCUUACCUAGCUCGAACGGCUCUCAACGGAGGUGG
rnacentral:rRNA from 1 species